UACGUAGGGGGCUAGCGUUGUCCGGAAUCAUUGGGCGUAAAGAGCGUGUAGGCGGCCCGGUAAGUCCGCUGUGAAAGUCGGGGGCUCAACCCUCGAAUGCCGGUGGAUACUGUCGGGCUAGAGUGCGGAAGAGGCGAGUGGAAUUCCUGGUGUAGCGGUGAAAUGCGCAGAUAUCAGGAGGAACACCGGUGGCGAAGGCGGGUCUCUGGGCCGAUAUUGACGCUGAGGAGCGAAAGCGUGGGGAGCAAACAGG
rnacentral:rRNA from 1 species